ensembl:lncRNA
UGAAUCCAUUCAUUUUUUAAUAUUCUUUAAAGUCACAUGUCAUAGUUUAUUCCUGUUCUGUCACGUACUUUUCUGGCAAAGAUGAUUUGAGUUCUCAUUUAGAAACACUGGCAACUUAUUUUAAAAUAGUCUAUUUGUUCUCUUCUAGUUAGAUGUGCGAGACACAGAAAUAGAACAUUGUGUGAUGGAGUAGAUGCUGUAGCAAUGAUUUGAAGAAAAAAUACUGACUGCAAGCAGCAUUUAAGACCCCAGGAAACAUUAUUGUUUUUUCUUCAGAAAGCAUAGAAUUGGGAUUUACCAAAGCUGCACAGGUUAAAGACAAAAGGAAAUUUCGAAAUGAUGCUGAAAGUAAAUUUCUGCACAGUUCAUCAUAGCAAAAAAGGUAAGAAUAAAUGAUCUUAUGAAAUCA